AGAGUUUGAUCCUGGCUCAGGAUGAACGCUGGCGGUAUGCUUAACACAUGCAAGUCGAACGGGACUCUUCGGAGUUCAGUGGCGGACGGGUGAGUAACGCGUGAGAAUCUGGCUUCAGGUUCGGGACAACCACGGGAAACGGUGGCUAAUACCGGAUGUGCCUAAAGGUGAAAGAUUAAUUGCCUGAAGAUGAGCUCGCGUCUGAUUAGCUAGUUGGUGGGGUAAGAGCCUACCAAGGCGACGAUCAGUAACUGGUCUGAGAGGAUGACCAGUCACACUGGGACUGAGACACGGCCCAGACUCCUACGGGAGGCAGCAGUGGGGAAUUUUCCGCAAUGGGCGAAAGCCUGACGGAGCAAUACCGCGUGAGGGAGGAAGGCUCUAGGGUUGUAAACCUCUUUUCUCAGGGAAGAACAAAAUGACGGUACCUGAGGAAUCAGCAUCGGCUAACUCCGUGCCAGCAGCCGCGGUAAUACGGAGGAUGCAGGCGUUAUCCGGAAUUAUUGGGCGUAAAGCGUCCGCAGGUGGCAAUUCAAGUCUGCUGUUAAAGGUCGGGGCUCGACCCCGAACAGGCAGUGGAAACUGAACAGCUAGAGUGCGGUAGGGGCAGAGGGAAUUCCCAGUGUAGCGGUGAAAUGCGUAGAGAUUGGGAAGAACACCGGUGGCGAAAGCGCUCUGCUAGGCCGUAACUGACACUCAUGGACGAAAGCUAGGGGAGCGAAUGGGAUUAGAUACCCCAGUAGUCCUAGCCGUAAACGAUGGAUACUAGGCGUUGUGAGUAUCGACCCUCACAGUGUCGUAGCUAACGCGUUAAGUA
rnacentral:rRNA from 1 species